GACCUUGAGGAUAUUGCGGAGGAGGAUACCCUUGUGCUGGAUAUGCCUGACCGUAUCCCUGCGGUGGUGGAGGAUAACCAGCCGGAGGAUAUCCCUGUGGUGGAUAUCCUUCCUUUGGAGGAUACCCUAUAAAACAAGCACAACGUCAUUUCAAGAAAACAAGAAGGACAAAAAAAAUCGAAACAAUAUUGGGAAUUACCUUGAGGAGGUGGAGCACCAACGGGAUGUUGUUGAUCUUGAUACAUCUUCUUCUCUACUAUGCUCUAUCUGAGGUUUUCUCCUUUGUUUAUAACGAAACCUCUACUUAUCUUCGCUGUGAGAUGGAAUAAAU
rnacentral:lncRNA from 1 species